rnacentral:rRNA from 1 species
AGUGAACGCUGGCGGUAUGCCUAACACAUGCAAGUCGAACGGCAACACAAUAAGCUCUUGCUCUUACCGGUGGCGGGUGGCGGACGGGUGAGGCAUAGAUCGGAUUCUACUUUUUCGGGGGUGAUAACGUAAGGCAACUUACGCUAAUACCGCAUACGACCUACGGGUUAAAGCAGUGGAUCUUCAGACCUUGCGCGAUUGAAUGAGCCGAUGUCGGAUUAGCUAGUUGGCUGGGUAAAGGCCCACCAAGGCGACGAUCCGUAGCUGACCUGAGAGGAUGAUCAGCCACACUGGAGCUGAGACACGGUCCAGACUCCUACGGGAGGCAGCAGUAGGGAAUCUUGGGCAAUGGGCGAAAGCCUGACCCAGCAAUACCGCGUGAGUGAAGAAGGUCUUCGGGUUGUAAAGCCCUUUUAUUGGGAAAGAAAAGAAGUGUAAGAAUACACGGACGUCCUGACGGUACCUAAAGAAUAAGCCCCGGCUAACUUCGUG